ensembl:lncRNA
AUGAGCUUUCGAAAGUGCAAGGAACCGUGUACCAGGUUCAUCACUAAGGGAGACACUCACGAAAGGUGCGUAGUCUGUUUGGGAUUACAUCACGCGCAGUCUGCGCUUAGUGGCCUUUCCUCUUGUCCCCACUGUGAUGGCCUGCGACUUAAAGUACUGCGCUCGAGGGUAGAAGUGUUUUCCGAGGUCGCCCCCGCGUCUAACCCCCGCCGUGUCGCUUCUGCGGCUGCCAAGGCACCGCACGAGGCGAUGGCUUGGGGAGACAUGUGCGACCUCACUUACGACGACAGCGCGGCGCUGGAGUUUUCUCCACAUCGCUCGCUCUCCCCUACCCGAGUGCAGGAUGCCACCUUCGUCGAACCCGUUGUGUUCUCGGACGGGGGUUUACAGCCCACCCCGGAGGCAUACGAUGCUAUCUCCUUCGGUUGUGGGCAGUUCGACGACGACGUCUUAUCCACCGCGGCCUCGGAGUCUGAGGACUUCGUGGCAGAUACGGACAGCCCUCUCCCUCCUAGCGGACAGGAGAAGCGCGUUUCCCCCUCCUACAGCGAGCUGUUGGAUGUGGUCUCUCGUGCGGUGGGUAAGCUGGGACUGGAUUGGGAGGUUGAGAAGGCCGAGGCCCAACCUUCAUCUAAGCUGGACGACCGUUUUUUAACUAGUCGUGCUCCUGCGCAGCCCCGUAGGCCCCUGCCUUUUUUCCCGGACCUCCACCAGGAGGUUUCGAGGUCCUGGAAGCAGCCCUACUCGGCGCGCAUCACGAACGCUGCGGCUGCGGAUUUCGCCACCAUUUCUGAUAUGGCGAACCGUGGCUAUACAGCGAUGCCUCCGGUUGAAGAGACUCUCGCCGAACAUCUGGUGCCUAAUUCGGCCACGGCAUGGAAGUCUCGCCCCCUCCUUCCUUCGAAGGCGUGUCGAGUCACGUCUAGCCUCGUCGGGAAAUCUUACAUGGCUGCUGGCCAGGCGGCCGCAUCGCUCCACUCUAUGGCGGUCCUCCAGGCCUACCAAGCGGAGCUUUUAAAGGAUCUCGACGAGGGGGAGGGCAUCACACCCGAGGCUGUGAAAGAGCUGCGUCGAGCAACGGAUUUGGCGCUACGCGCUACCAAACAUACUGCUCGGGCAGUGGGCCGUUCCAUGGCUGGUUUGAUUACGGUUGAGCGCCACCUUUGGCUGAAUCUCACCGAUAUCAAAGAAAAGGAUAAAUCUUUUCUCAUGGACGCGCCCAUUUCUAAGGACGGUUUGUUUGGAGAGGCAGUUACGUCGGUGGUGGAUAAAUUUAGGGCAGCGAAACAGCAAUCAGCCGCUUUCCGCCAGCUGAUUCCACGCAGACCCAGAGAGACUGAACGGCGGCAGGCGCCCGCGCGGUCUCGUUCAACCUCUUCAAACCGCCAACGGGCUGCCUCACGGGAAGAGCCUUCGCCUAUGGCGCCCCCUCGUAAGGACUGGGGUCCUAAGGCUUUUCCACCAGCUCGCCAGCGACAGCGGAAAAGAUUAGACCUGAGUUCGACGGCUAAUGCCUCUCGCUCUCGGGCUCCUAAUAGCAGCUCCUGUUAUUUUCGCUGCUUGCCAGGGACUGUGCCCUCCGCUAGAGAGCGCUGUUGGACCGUUUUCGCGCAUCCAACCCUCUCACUGCAGUCCCCACGCUCUAACAUUGACUGUCUCGCCGCAAAAGGCGCUUCGAGCAGCAUUGGAUCGAGCAACCAUGUCAGGCGUUUCCUCAGACACUCUGCGCGAUUCAGCCUUCAGAAUUCGAGGAACGCUACAAGGGUCUGGCAAAGACGGCCCGUUUAUGACGGCUCAUACAGCCGCCGCUUUUUCGCUAGCGGCAGAGCCCGAUGUUCAUCUUGUUGGAUUAAUUCCUGCCGUGGACACGCUUCAGGAUUAUACACAACGAGAUGCAACGGAUUUGACGCACGCGCUUCCCCGGCUUACGGACGCCGCGAGCUUUCCGUAUUCGGGCAUGUUAACGCGUAUGAAAAUGCUGAAAAAGGCGGAAACCCUGAAACCACUGACGCUAUUUCGGGCCACGUGGGAACGCUUGCCCGGCAUUUCGCAAUGGGUGUUACGCACGAUUCGUCUCGGAUACACCAUUCAGUUUCGAAAAGGCCCGCCUCCUUUCCGCGGAAUUCUUCCCACGGUUGUGAAACCAGAGGAAGUCGCGGUGCCGCGGCAAGAAAUGACAGCUCUGCUGAGGAAAGGGGCUAUAGAAGAAGUACACCCCUCUCAGAUGGAGUCAGGUUUUUACAGCCGCUAUUUUGUUGUACCAAAAAAAGGGGGCGGUUUGCGACCCAUAUUGGAUCUACGCCGUUUGAAUCUUGCACUCAGGACGAGCAAAUUCAAGAUGUUAACGGUAAAGUCCAUUUUGUCUCAGAUUCAACCAAACACUUGGUUUGUCACGAUCGAUCUGAAGGAUGCAUAUUUUCAUAUUCAGAUCAUCAAGAGACACAGGAAGUUCCUCAGAUUCGCUUUAGAGGGCAAAGCGUAUCAAUACCGUGUUCUUCCGUUCGGCUUAGCCCUGGCUCCCCGAACUUUUUCAAAAUGCAUGGACGCAGCUCUGGCCCCGUUGCGGCUCCAGGGCGUUCAUGUGUUGAAUUACUUGGACGAUUGGCUGGUGCUAGCUCAAUCACAGACUCAAGCACUCUCUCACCGAGAUUUAGUGCUGGAUCAUUUAAGCAGCCUCGGCUUAUGCACGAAUUUCCAGAAGAGUGUUUUAAUCCCCUCUCAACGGAUAACCUUUCUGGGAAUAGAUUUGGACUCUCGCGCGAUGACAGCCAGACUAUCUCUCCCGCGCGUUCAGUCUCUCACGUCAUGCGUGCGUCACUUCAAAGUAGGCCGCACAGUGACGGUGAGUUUGUGUCUCAGGCUGUUAGGUCUGAUGGCAGCGGCAUCCCCUGUAAUUCGUCUGGGCUUACUUCACAUGCGCCCUUUUCAGUGGUGGACGAAAAGUCAGAACAUUUCACCCCGUUGUUUUCCGCAUCGUACGAUUUCGGUGACACGGAGGUGUGUUAUGUCAAUAAAACAGUGGAUGUCAACCGAGUUCCUUCUAGCCGGAGUUCGGCUGGGGAUUUGUGCUUCCCGAGAGACUGUCACGACGGACGCGUCUUUGACCGGUUGGGGAGCUGUUUGUCAAGGGCGCCCAGCUCAUGGAGUGUGGACAGCGACACAACGCGGUUGGCACAUAAACAGGUUGGAACUACUGGCAGUUUUUCUAGCUCUCCAGUAUUUCUCAAAUCUGCUGACCGGCCGUCAUGUACUACUCAGGUCAGACAACAUGGCGGUUGUGUCAUACCUGAAUCAUCAAGGAGGGUUACGCUCUCGCCCCCUGUGCAGGCUGGCGAGGAGUAUUCUUCUUUGGUCUCGGAACAGAUUUCUAUCGAUCCGAGCAGUUCAUGUCCCCGGACGUUUGAACGUCGGAGCGGAUCUGCUAUCCAGACAGACUCUGGAGCAGGGGGAAUGAAGAUUACACCCACAGACGGUGAGCCUUUUAUGGCGGAUAUUCGGAGAGGCGAGAGUGGACUUAUUCGCGUCGAGCACGACUACGCAUUGCCCACUGUGGUUCUCCCUAUGCCCUCCAUCGCCCCUAGGCUUGGAUGCGUUAGCUCACGAUUGGCCCAGGACCAGCUUGUAUGCUUUUCCUCCAAUUCGUUUAAUUCCAGCAGUGUUGUCCAGGAUACGGCUGGACAGAGUGGAGCAGCUGCUGCUGGUGGCUCCGUGGUGGCCCACACAGCCGUGGUUUGCGGAAUUGGUCAGUCUAAUAGUGGGCUCUCCAUGGGAGAUUCCCCUCAGACAGGACUUACUAUCGCAAGCACGAGGGAUGAUUUGGCACCCGAGGCCAGAUCUGUGGAAGCUGUGGGCGUGGCCUCUGAGCGGAGUGAGUUAAUAUGUCCCGGUCUUUCUGCGGAAACCUCCGAGACUAUUAUGAAUUCCAGAGCAGCAUCUACGAGACGCUUAUAUGCUUUCAAAUGGAAGCUGUUUACGACCUGGUGUGGUUUUCGUAGUAUAGACCCAGUUUACUGCCCAGUGGCUUCAGUACUGGAGUUCCUUCAAGACCGUUUCUCUGAUGGAGUAACGCCAGCAACUUUGAAAGUUUAUGUGGCAGCCAUUUCAGCUAACCACGUAUAUAUGGAUGGUGCUUCAGUGGGCCGUCAUCCGCUGGUCUCUCGCUUUUUACAAGGUGCGCGACGGCUGAGGCCUUUCCGCCCUGUGCGAGUUCCCUCAUGGGAUUUAUCUAUUGUACUGCAAGGUCUAUCAGGACAUCCGUUUGAGCCCUUGGAAACCGUACCGGAUAAAAUCCUGACCUUGAAGACAGUUCUUCUUAUGGCUUUAUCCUCCCUCAAGAGAGUUGGGGAUUUACAGGCUCUUUCUGUUUCGCCGUCGUGCAUGGAUUUUGCACCAGGCUUUGUGAAGGUAUUGCUGCGACCGAGGCCUAAUUAUGUCCCUAAAGUCGCUUCGAACCCCUUUCAUUUUCAGCAGACGGUCCUGGAGGCUUUACCCCCUGCUGGGACAGGAUCAGAAGAUCUAAGUCUUUGCCCUGUCAGAGCGCUUAAGACUUAUGUCGAUCGAUCAGCCUCAUGGCGUGAGUCCGACCAGCUGUUUGUCUGUUUUGGACACAAGAAUAGAGGCCAUGCUGUCACAAAGCAACGCAUGUCCCAUUGGUUGGUGGAGGCAAUAUCUUUAGCCUAUGAGGCGCGUGGUCUCGCCUCGCCUCUAGGAGUCAAAGCUCAUUCCACUAGAGCAGUCGCUUCCUCUCAGGCGGCCCUCAGUGGAUCUUCUAUGGCUGAUAUCUGUGCUGCGGCAGGAUGGUCCUCACCGAGCACUUUUAUCAAGUUUUUACAGUCUGGAUGUAAGGACGGCUCCUGGCUCCCGGGUUCUCUCCGCUUGAGCAGAUGCUUCCUUGGAUCCCAGCUAUCAGGUACGUCAGGCGUUAUGGUAUAG